AAUACAUUUUUAAAAUUAAAGUAGUAUCUGCUAAUAUUUAUAAUGAACCUGUUCUGACAUGAAAAAACAAUGAAGUUGUAUUUUAAUUAAAUAUAGUUAAAAAUAAUUAAUAAUCAGUAAAAAUUAAAUUAGAUCAUCUGAUAAAGUAAAUAUAAUAUCUGUAGUGUAGUGAACUAAUUCAGUAGUGAAAUAUUUUUUUAAAGUUUGACCUCUUUAAACUGUGAUGUAAAGCUGCUGUAUUAAAGCUGACCUGCCUCUCCGUCCUCCACAGGUGGAUGAAUUAUCAGGACAGGUGAAGGUGGAAAAACUGCAGGAGGCUGAGGACGAGAGCGGCUGAAGACCAGACUCCUGAAGCCUCCUCCAUCGUCUACGGACAACAGUUGAUGCUGAGCGGCAGUCAGACACCCGUCACUCCUCAGACGAGUUUCCCGGCUUACGGAUACGCCGCUCCUGGAUUCGCUCCUCCGGUGUACGCCUUCAACCUUCAGCCUUGAAUUUUCCCGCUAGGAAUUCUGGGAAACGUGUGCCUGUGCUGCAUUCAGGAAGCAUGACGAAACAUCUCUGCAAUCAAAUGAACACCCAGCACUGCUUCCUAACAUACGUGUGUUGCGUUCACCGCUCAACAAGCUGCUCGUUAACUUAUGUUUUCAUUUGAAUCUGAUCAGAUCGCACUGAUGAUGAGAGGAAGGACACUAAACCCGAAUCAACACUAGUUAGGGUGAACCCUACAGUAUUUUUAGUGACAAACUCAUUCCUUGGUUCUUUUUGUCCAUCCUCGUCUGUUUUCAAUCGUUUACAUUUCAAGCGGGUCUAAAUUUCAGUUUUACAAUGUGAAAAUCUCACCAUCAGUGAGGAGCACACAAACAUCUGUUUAUUUAACACUAGCUGUUACCUGCUCAUUAUUACUGAAGCUUUUUCUGGUGCUGUUCAUCCUCCGUGUUACUGCAAGCCAUAUGCACUGUCUAUAUAUUGUUAUAGUCGAAAGAGACGUGUGUAGCGACUCAUUAGACUGAAGAGACGUGGAGAAUAAAGUCUACAUGUGCUGUUCAUUCUGUCUCACUCUCUGAAGUCACUCUAGGUCACAGUCUUUCACGUUGUUCCUGUUUAAUGUGGGUUUUGUGGGUUUUUCCGGCAUGUUAAUGUCUGGGUUCUUGCUCAAUUUUAAGCUGAACUUAGUGUAGCAGAAAAAUCACCGAUAAAAAACAUUUUGGGAUGAGUUUUGUUUUCAGUAUCACUGUAGUGGCAGAGUUAUGAUGCAAUCAAUGAUUAUGUUCCAGAAAGUAAUGUUAUAUUCCGAAUUUCAUAUUCCCUAGUACAGUGAUGGAAUCAGAAUAUGUAUUUCUACAAUACUUCAUAGAAACUGUGUUCAGAGAAAAUCUUUAAUCCAAGAAACUAUGAUAACACUGGGGUACAAAAAAGCAUUGUGUUAAUGUAGUGCAUAGUGUUUUUUCUUUUAGUUAAAGUUAGUGCAUAGUAUACAGUAACAGCUCCUUCAUAUUGAUCACACUAAAGUUUUAACAGAUUUUACAGAUUAUUUAUUUACAUGUAACUUUGAUGUAUAGAGGCCCAAACCUGCAAAAAAAAAAAAAAAAUAAAAAAAUUUAAUUUCACACACACACAUAAGUAAAUAGCUGCAUGAGAACACACACAGGCAGGGGUUG
rnacentral:lncRNA from 1 species